UACGAAGGGUGCAAGCGUUAAUCGGAAUUACUGGUCGUAAAGCGUGCGUAGGUGGUUUGUUAAGUCUGCUGUGAAAGCCCUGGGCUCAACCUGGGAAUGGCGGUGGAUACUGACAAGCUAGAGUGCGGUAGAGGAGGGUGGAAUUCCCGGUGUAGCGGUGAAAUGCGUAGAGAUCGGGAGGAACAUCAGUGGCGAAGGCGGCCCUCUGGACCAGCACUGACGCUGAGGCACGAAAGCGUGGGGAGCAAACAGG
rnacentral:rRNA from 1 species